rnacentral:rRNA from 1 species
GUGCAGCAGCCGCGGUAAAACCAGCACCUCAAGUGGUCAGGAUGAUUAUUGGGCCUAAAGCAUCCGUAGCCGGCUCUGUAAGUUUUCGGUUAAAUCUGUACGCUCAACGUACAGGCUGCCGGGAAUACUGUAGCGCUAGGGAGUGGGAGAGGUAGACGGUACUCGGUAGGAAGGGGUAAAAUCCUUUGAUCUAUUGAUGACCAUCUGUGGCGAAGGCGGUCUACCAGAACACGUCCGACGGUGAGGGAUGAAAGCUGGGGGAGCAAACCGGAUUAGAUA